AUACUCUGAUUUCUCUUCAAAUCGUAUAAAUCUUUCGCCUUUUACUAAAGAUUUCCGUGGAGAGGAAUAAUUCUGAGUUUUUACUCAAUUUUUGGAGCCUUGCUUUGGCAAGGCU
rfam:Pteropus alecto contig20316, whole genome shotgun sequence.